UUUUAUGGAGAGUUUGAUCCUGGCUCAGGAUGAACGCUGGCGGCGUGCCUAAUACAUGCAAGUCGAGCGAACGGACGAGAAUCUUGCUUCUCUGAGGAUAUCGGCGGACGGGUGGGGAACACGAGGGGAACCUACCUAUAGGACCGGGUUAACUCCGGGACACCGGAGCUAAUGACGGUGGAUAUUUUGGACCUAAUGGAGCAAAAGGGGAAGACGGUCUUGCUGUCACUUAUAGAUGGAUCCGCGCUGCAUUAGCUAGAUGGUAAGGGAACGGCUUACCAAGGCAACGAUGCAUAGCC
rnacentral:rRNA from 1 species